CUCUAAGUAGCUUACCCGCAAAGCGUUGGCCUUUUAAGCCAAAGAAGGACAUUACAACCCCUUAGAUC
rnacentral:tRNA from 1 species